rnacentral:tRNA from 1 species
AAAGCUUUAAGUUAAAAAAACUAUUAACCUUCAAAGUUAAAAUUACAUUGUUAUUGUAAGCUUUA